AUGCUUAACACAUGCAAGUCGAACGGUAACAUGGGGAGCUUGCUCCCUGAUGACGAGUGGCGGACGGGUGAGUAACGCGUAGGAAUCUGCCCAGUCGUGGGGGACAACUCGAGGAAACUCGAGCUAAUACCGCAUACGCCCUACGGGGGAAAGCGGGGGAUCUUCGGACCUCGCGCGAUUGGACGAGCCUGCGUUGGAUUAGCUAGUUGGUGGGGUAAAGGCCUACCAAGGCGACGAUCCAUAGCUGGUCUGAGAGGACGAUCAGCCACACUGGGACUGAGACACGGCCCAGACUCCUACGGGAGGCAGCAGUGGGGAAUAUUGGACAAUGGGCGAAAGCCUGAUCCAGCAAUGCCGCGUGUGUGAAGAAGGCCUGCGGGUUGUAAAGCACUUUCAGUCGGGAGGAAGAGAGGGUCGUUAAUAGCGACUCAGGAUGACGUAACCGACAGAAGAAGCACCGGCUAACUCCGUGCCAGCAGCCGCGGUAAUACGGAGGGUGCGAGCGUUAAUCGGAAUUACUGGGCGUAAAGGGCGCGUAGGCGGCGUGAUCAGUCAGAUGUGAAAGCCCUGGGCUUAACCUGGGAAUUGCAUUUGAUACUGUCAUGCUCGAGUUUGGUAGAGGGGAGUGGAAUUUCCGGUGUAGCGGUGAAAUGCGUAGAGAUCGGAAGGAACACCAGUGG
rnacentral:rRNA from 1 species